CUCCCUGGCCCCCCCAGUGCACCUGGCAGGUGAGAGGGUGGGCUGGACACUGCUGGUGUGUGUCAUCACUGACCUGGGGAGGGGUCACCUGGAGGUCAGCUGGAGGUCACCUGGGGAUGUGAGUCCUGCCAGUGCUCCCUACAGUGUGGCCGGAGAGGAACAGGACAGUGGCCGCAGCGCAGUGGCCAUAGUAACCGUGGCGACCAGCGAAUGGCCGUCAUACAGCUGCUUUGUCAGUCACCGCCGCCACGCCAGAGUCAUCAGGACACACCAUGCCACCUUCACAGAUGAAGACGGAGAGAGUUGCUAUGAACAUCACAACAGUGUGUUUCAAGCCAGUGGCUUGUGGACUGAUCAUGUGACUCUACAGGCCUUGAGGCUUCUCCUCCUGAAGACCACCAUCUUUAAUGCUCUGAUCACAGCAUGUGCCGUUAUAAAGUGAUGGUCAGGAGUAGAUGAAAAGAGGAUUACUUCUAUACUAUCUUUAUAGAGGAGAGAGAGACCAUGGUCCACAGAGAGAGGAUGUCUUCUAAUCUCUACCAUGAUGAUGACCAUAGAGCAGAUUAUGUCCAGUAAUGGCUAGGGUCUGCAGAGGAUGUCUCCUGGAGUAGCUGCAUAUGUGUGUGUUUAUGAGUUUGGGCGUGCUUCUCAGAAAGAUUGCAGGUGUCCCUGUGAAUGUUAGGGUGACAGUUACAGUAGCUGUGUGUGUGUGUGUGUGUGUGUGUGUGUGUGUGUGUGUGUGUGAACAAACCUGUAGUAUCUGAUCAACUCAGACAGAUGUACACAUACAGAGACAACUGGCUUCCACUCUGACCUAAUUCUCUGUCAGUUAGAAACACUAAGACCAGAGACAAUGUGAGAUAACAUAAGAUAUGUAAAUAAAAUGUAAAUAAGU